rnacentral:tRNA from 1 species
GUACCCGUAGCUCAAUUGGAUAGAGCGUCUGGCUACGGACCAGAAGGUUAGGGGUUCAAGCCCUCUCGGGUACGCCA